UUGUUGUUGUUGUUAUUUCCAUUAGGACGAUAGGUUGGCAAAAUUGUUUGCGUCUCAGACGAAUCCUUAGUUGUGUUCAUCCUGGGUCUUUUUGUCCUCAGUUUCAAAUCCUGCCAGGGUCAACUUUGCCUUUCACCUUUCCUGAGCCAAUAAAAUAAAAGUACCAGUUACGUUCUGGGGAUCACUGCAAUAAACUAACCUCAUAACCUCAUUCUCCCCCAAAUCCCUGGCCCUAUGCCAAUGUCACAAAUUUUUUUUUUUUAUUAUUAUUAUUAUUAUUAUUAUUAUUAUUAAUUAUUAUUUUAUUAUUAUUAUUGGGGCAACAGAAUGACAAAAUGAUAAAAUCAGAAGAUAGAAAUGAAAUGUCUUGCAAUAUUUUGUGACAGAUUUUUUUAAGGUUCUGAGUUCAAACCAAGCCAAGGGCAAAUUUGCCUUUCCUCCUUCUGGGGGCGGGUGAUCAAAGAGAAUAACAUUCAAUUUAAUCGCCUGGUCUCUUCUUCCCCCCUCCCCACCACACCAAACGUGUGACCUUGGGCUAUAAUUAAAAAUUGAUUAUAUUAUACCAUUAUUAAUUAUAAAAGAGCAUCGUUACUGCUAAAUUGGCAGAGAUGGGCAUGGCUGAGUAAAAAGUACAAUAACUUGAAUUCAAUCCCUGCUAGAGUGUUAAUUUCCCCCCUUUUGUCUAGGGACUGUUUGACCCUUUGAAAUUCUGGUUCCUCUGUCAAAAGUAAUCUCUAUUUAUUCAUAUUGCUUUGAAUUAAUCCUGGAUUAUCUCGUAGCUUUGAGAUUUCAAUGAUGGGAUUGUUUACUUUUAGGAUGACAUUGUAGGGUAGGUGUGAGAGGCUGGAUCUGGUCAAUUUUAACUUCUGGCCAUGCUGGGGCACUCCGUUUGUUGAUGGUUCGUCUUCCGUAUUACAGUCAGAGAUAAACAGAAAGAAGGAGGAGAGAGAGAGAAACGUUUAGCAAACUAGAUUUCAUUCCUCCCUUUUUUUCUUUUACCCUAGUGACUUCUCUUUUCUAUUCUUCUCCCCCCCCCCAUUCCUUGCAUCUCUGUGACUCGAACCCUUCACCAUCCAGAUCGCUCUCUCAACUCUGUCGCUUAUUUAUUCACGUUCUCUUCAAUUAGUCGUGGAUUAUCUCAUAGGUUGGAGAUUUCAACGAUGUGAUUGUCUAUUUUUAGAAUGACAUUGUAGGAUAAGCGUGAGAGGACAGAUCUGGCCAUUUUAAAAGGCGAACCGGCUAAUCUUGCCUCCAUCUCCUCAAAACUUAAAUUCUGUAAAAUAGAUUUUGUGUGUAUCUGGGUUAAGCCAUCAUCAUCAUCAUCAUCAUCAGUUUUCCAGAGACUGAUGCUGUGUAAUAAGGUGGGUGAUUCAGUAACGUGUUCUGUGUUACCUCUUUGUUUGAUAGUCACCCUCCGCUGCCCGUCUUCUGACCGUUGUCCAUCUUACAACUGACCGACCGUCUCUCUCCCUCUGCCUCUCUGUCUUCCUUUUUCCCCAUCAUUUACAAAGUCAUCUCCAAAGUACUUCAGAGUACAAAGGACCGAUUGUUUUGUAACGAUUUCCUCCUACAAGAGUCACCACUACCACCACCAUCGCUCGUCUUGAAUAUCAUCAUCAUCAUCAUCAUCAUCAUGGCAGGACAAAUGGUUGAAACCAAGAGUACUGGGCUAAAUGAAAUGCCUUGUGGUGUUUUCUUAUGUUCUAAGUUAAAUCCCUACAGGGUUUCACAUUGCCUUUCAUCCUUCAGGGGUUUGAUAAAUCCUGGGGUCAUUCGAUUUGUUUCCCCUCCCCUAAAAAUCUGUGUGCAGGAGUUGAUAGAAAAAGUUGUUAUAGGGAUUGACAGAACCCUUAAUUAGGGCCUCGGACCAAAUGCCAAGCAGCAGCUUUUCUUCCAGUUCUUUAAGUUCUGAGUUCAAAUCCUGCUUACGUAAACUUUACCUUUUGUCUCUCCUGGGUCAAUAAAACAAAGCACAUCUCUCUUCAUUUAUCACAGAUGUUUGGUUCUGAAAUAACAGUGUUGAAUGAAUGAUAGGAUGUAUGAGUAAAAUAGGUUUUGUUCUGGGGACCCCUUCCUGUCCCCAAGUUGUCCUGAACAUUGUGGAUGGUCAUUGGGUCAUGAUUUUGCAGGUCAAGCAGAAAUCUUUAAUUGAUUGCUUACCUGUGCCAUCACAGAUCAAUCUAUGAUAAACAUAACAUAGUUCACAAUAGAGCAGAUCAGUGAUGAAUGAAGCAGAUCAGUGAUAAACAAAGCUGGACCUACCACUGAAAGACUCGGUUGAGGGGACCAGCUCAACACUGAUCCCCAAAUUUCUCACCUUGAGCCCAUUUAAAAAAAAAAUUGUCAUCAUUAUAUUCCUGUAAUAUUUAAACCCCACAGAGGUCAACUUUGGCUUCCAUCUUUGAGGGGCUUGAUAGAAUAAACCACAGGGUUCCACACAUUUGACCGUUUUCUCUCUCUCUCAUCAGAACGUGACCCUUUUAGAAGCAGGGUCGACUUCACUUUUCAUAUUUUAGUGGCUUCAUAAAAUAAAGUACCAAUAACCUAUUGGUGUCUUCAACUGUUGCCUCUCCUAGCAAUCAUUAACUCUAAUUAAUUGUCAUCGUUAAGGCAGGAUAGAUGAUGAGUGAAGACAAGAAUGAAGUAAUUUUUAAGCUUUGUCCCUCAUGGUUCCAAAUUCACUUUCAUUAUUGACUUUGCCUUCAAUUUUUCUUUUUCUUUUUUCCCCUAAGGUGAAUAAAAUACCAGUUAAACACUGGGGUCCAAUCAAUCAAAUCCCCCCUCCCCCCUUGUGCCUAAGAAAGCAUAUUAUUAUUAUUAUUAUUAUUAUUAUCUUUAUGUCAAUAAUAAAAGCAAUGAGUUGCCAGAAGCGUGGUAGUGGUGGACCAUUGUACUAAAUGCCUUACCGUAUUUAGAUUUGUCUUCGUCUGAUCUGGGUUCAAAUCCCACAAGGGGGAAUGGGGGGAGAGUUUUUAUCCUCCCCUCACUCCUCUUCCUGUGCCAGCAUUGACCUUUGACCUUUGAAAACCAUUGUCGUUGUAGCAGAAGUAGUAGACUGGUGAACUAAAUGCCUUGUGGUGUUUAGGCCCCAUCCAGCAUCCCCCCCCCCUCUAAUUCUUUCCUAACCACUGAGUGGAAAUCUUUUAUGCUUUUAGCAAAAGGUAUUUUGAGACUGUGACACAUUUUGUAUCUGAAACUGUUUUUUUCUUACCUGAGGCUCUGUAAUGAAAACACACCUGUCUUAAUUAGAUUGUCAUCAUUGUCCUAUAUUGACAUUUACAUUUUCACAGCUGCCGAAAUAAAGCAGAAAUUUGUGUGUGGCAUCAUUUAUUUUGGUGCUGCAAGAUGUGGGAGCGAACCCUGUCUUCAGUUUUUGGAAAUGGCAGAAUUGUGCAAAUGCCCCAAAAAAACUACAAUUGUAUUUUGUAAACCAAAACGAGUGCGACAUCAUUUUGAGGCGCAUGGCACCAUUGGUACCCCGUUGCGACACGGAGAGGGAAUGUUGGUUGCAUAUUCAGAGUUUAAAUCCGACCCAGACUGAUUUUUUUUUUUACUUUUAAACUUCUGCGGGAGGUGACUUAAAAUAAGCACCCUUCAUUUUCCUGAUGGCUAAACACAGAAACCCUUUUCCAAAAACAUUUGUGGCCUCUGUGCCAAUUUUAGAAGUUCUUAUAAUGUCACUCUGCUGGGGUUUGUUUUUUUUUUUUAAAGAAAUCUAUAAAACCAUGAUUGUUAACAAACACCAUUCUGAUUUUGUCACUCUCCACCACAGAUGUCUAAACAAUCCUUUAAUAUUCCUGUGACCCCAAUGUGCCAUUUUGUGCACUGACCCGUUCUGUGUCUUUGUGUAUGUUUCGUGUUGUGUUCAAUGCUAGAAUCAGCCGGUUUCUCUCUCCAAGAGAAAUUUUAAAGGCUUGAAGAUGGCAUUAUUUUUCUUUUCUUUUUUCUUUUGAGAGACAAGGAGAUGGGAAGUUGUGAUAUUUGUGCCUUUCCCAGAAUUAUUCAUUCAGUAACACAUGUAAAGUGGUUUCAACCAGGUCAACUGGCCAUCACUGCCUACUAGUCCUGUAGUUGUAAAAAAAGUAUUUGGAGAGACGACGUGAGAAGCAUUUCUCUAUUAUCCGACCAUAACUUAGCCUGUUGCCCUGUCUGACCCUUCUGUUGUGGCCUUUAGUUUAAUCUCUCUCUCGGUUCAUCUUACUUCUCUCUCUCUCUCUCUCUCUCUCUCUCUUUUUGAUUUCUACCAGCAGCACCACCCAGAUUGCCACCACCACCACAACCACCACCACCACAACCACCACCACCACAACUACUAGCAAUGCCAUCAGCACCAUUUCUGACUCAACCUUCAAAAAACUCUCACAUCCACCACCACCUAUCCGCACCAUUUAUCCGAAUACUCUCCCACACCUCACCAAUGCCACCUCCCCCCACAGCACCCAGCACCAACCACACUCUGUAUGUAAAAGCACCGGAUUUUCAAAAUAUCUCAGUAGAAGAUAGUUUUCAAUUCUUUCCAAACACUCUGUAUUGCCAGUUGAGGUGGUCAGCUCAGAAAUUUGUCUUGCCUUUAAAGACACCUUUUUUUUCCCCCCUCCUUUUCUGUCUGUGUGUCUGUGUGUGAAUCCUUGGGAUUGUCUUGCUGGGCUAUUUUUGUUCUUGUAUAUUUAGUUUUUAUUUUACUUUAUUUUUUUUUAGAUGUUUCUUGAUUAUUAUUGUUA